GUCUUUUCGUGGUGUGGGUAAGAUGCGUUCCACGUUGCUCGUCCAGGUCAACAUCCGGCAUUCAACUAAACAAAUAAUUUUCUUCACCGAUCAUUAGAUUGGGCAGGAGGAUGAGGGAAGGAGAACCAUCAUUCAUCGGCAUGCAGGAGAAACACUUCAAACCCAUGAAGAGACAUGGCUGAAAAUUUUCUCUCACCUGUGGGGAAGAAAUUGGCGGACUAUGCCCUUGAGCAGUUCGGAUCGAUGCGGAGCAUUGACGAAAGGCGGGCAAAGGUUAAGAGAGCAUUGGAAGCAAUCAAAUCUGUGCUUUGGGGUUGUUACUCGAUCAGCGUGCGAAUAAGAAGGUUACAGUCCUUGCCAUAGUUGGGAUGGGAGGACUGGGUAAGACCGCCCUUGCUCAACUGGUCUACGGAGACGACAGGGUGAAGAACCAUUUCCAAAAGCUCAUAUGGGUCUGCGUGUCUGAUCAAGAGUUUGAUGUUGCCAUAUAUGUUAUGAGAUUGAGGAAUAUUGGAUCAUAUUGACAAGUCAUUGGGCUAGAAACUUUAAUAAACAGGCUUUUGCUGGUGUCUUAUUAAAUAUUCUAUUUAAGUUUGAUCUUUCUUCAGUGUACAUGUACAUCCGAAAUCUCGUUUCUACAAAGCCAAAUUCUGUAUAUUUGUGAUCAUAAUGAUGUUUGAAGGAACUCAAACUGCAUUUGGAGAAGUAAACAUUUGAGGAUUUGGAGAGUCAAGGAAGAUAUGAUUGAAAGAUGGCUUCAUGAACCGUGAGGACAAUCCUAGCAAAGAUAGUGGUGCUCAUAAGAAGUGGCGUCACCAAAUUGCUGGCAUUUGAGAAGAAGGUGGUCAGUAAGAAAGAAGAUCAACCGAACGUGUGAUGCAAUUCCGAACACCAUUAUUGAAGGCAACCACUUGAGUAAACAUUUUGGUGGCCCUGCAUUUAGAAAAGGUGUUAACAAGCAAUUUGAAAACAUAUUUACUGAAACUAUAUUGAUGUGGGAAGUUUCAAAGUUCAAUUACUCUAUAAGGUCCAAUUUACUCUAUUGGAACAUAUCAUUUAUCAAAAGAAUAAAA